CGAAUAUUCAAUAAUUCUUUUUUUUUUAUUUGUAUGGUAUAUGUAACAACCAUCCAAAUUCCAAACAAGGUGUUAAAAUCCGAAGCUGAUGUGAGUUAACAGUGUUCUUCAUCUUCUCUACGGAUCAUUUUCUCUAAGUGUUGGUGUGUGGCUGAUCUGUCAAGUCAACAUCCUCCAGUCGUUUCUCUUUGAUAUUGGUUCCAAAUAAGGUAAUAAGUACAGAUAAAACUGACUGUGGGGUACAUUGACAUUUUACUCAGGUUGACAAGUGAAACUAUCGUACUGGUUCCUACUUCUUGGGGGACCUCAUAGUUCAAAAACACGAACUUCUUAGCCAUAAAUCAGGAAUCUUAUAGGUCAUGCGUUUGAAGACUUGCUCUUUGUUAUUUUGAGUCGUCUACCUUUUCUAGCCUCUGGUGUGUCUUUUGAUAAAAUUAUUGUGAAGUCCUCCCGAAAAAAAAAUUGUGAACUAUCGAGCUUCACUCCCUUGACCGGAGUGUUAUCUUGGUUGAAAUGGAUAAUCCAUCAGAUGACUUCUCUGGAUAUAUCAUUCAGCUUCCCGACGAUUGUCUACUCUGUAUUUUUCAACUCCUUGACUGUGGAUCUGACCGUGAAUCAUUUGGCUUAACAUGUCGUCGUUGGCUUCAGAUUCAAAACCUAAAUAGAAGAUCUUUACAGUUCCAAUCCUCUUUUACUAUGCUUAAUAUUUCCUCGUUGUCUCAAAAUAAUACCCAAAUCAGUGCAUUCCAGUUAUCUAGGCUUCUGAACCGUUUCCAGAACCUAGAAUCAUUGUCCCUUUCCGGAUGCACCGAGCUUCCUGAUUCGGGUUUGGCGUUGUUACCACGUUAUGGCUCAAAAUUGCAAAGUCUUCAUCUAGAUUGUUGUUUUAGUAUAACUGAUGAUGGUCUUUCCUUCGUUACAUCUGGUUGUUCUUCGUUGGUAAUACUAAGUCUUUACCGAUGUAACGUUACUGAUUAUGGGUUAGAGGCUUUAUCUAAAUCUUGCCUAGCUUUAGAAGAUCUGAAUCUUUCAUAUUGCUGUCAAAUCUCUGAUUAUGGCGUAAGAGCUAUUUCACAAAACUGCCAUCGUCUUAGAGCAAUCAGGAUAUCCUACUGUAGAAAUCUCACUGGUAUUGGCUUUCAAGGAUGUUCUCAAACUCUGACUUAUUUGGAAGCCGAUUCUUGUAGGCUUGAACCUAAUGGAAUACAGAGUAUCCUAAGUGGAGGGGGUCUUGAAUACUUGAGUGUGCCCAACUUGACCUUGCGCACUCGUGUUGAUGGUCUGAUAGCUAUUAGCGUCGGAUUUGCUGCAAAGUUGAGAGUGUUGAAUUUCCGUUGCAGCAGAACUAUUGGCGAUGAUUGUAUUACGGCUAUGGCAAAGGGUUGUCCGUCUCUUCAAGAAUGGAACUUAGCAAUAUGUCAUGAGGUCAAGACAGAAGGUUGGGAAUCUAUUGGAUUACAUUGUCAUAACUUGAAAAUAAUACAUGUGAAUCGGUGUAGAAAUCUUUUGGACAGUGGAAUGCAGGCGUUGAGAGACGGCUGCAGACGUCUCUCGGUUCUUUACAUUACCGGAUGUCCUCAGAUCAGUGUUGUUACAUUGGAGGUUUUUAAAAUCGCAAGAGGAAAUGUAAAGAUUAAAGAAGAAGAAAUAGUGUGUAUUUGCCCUGAUGGUGCCUUCAGGUUUUAAUAGGUGGCUAUAAUCUUCAAAGUUCUUACGCUGUCAGAUCUCGGAAGGAGAAAUUGUCUUACCAAUCAAUCCAUUCGGGAUGCCCUGGACCUAACGCGUUGCUCACCCGUUCGCUGUUGGAAACACCGUUUUCCUAUCCAACUCUUGAUGGAAAUACGCCAGUUGUGCCCACUGCACACAUGUAUCAAGAUAUGGCUAUGAAUGCCUUAAAGAGAACUGCCCCUCUUCAGUCGGAGCUUCUUUAAACUGGUAAGGAGUGAGGAUGAUCGUAGCAGUGGAGGUGGAAAGCCUAGCAAUUGUUUGGACACAGCUUUCAGAUGGUGGGGACACCAACUAAGCUGCACGGACUCUUCACUUUUGAUGCCGCACCGUUGUCGGAUUCUCCAAAAUAAACUACUUUUGAAGUAUCCGACACGCACCUGAUGACAUUUUUGAAGAGUCUGAGCAACAUAGAACACCAACAAAAGGAGAGUCAGGCAAUGGACCUUUGUUGUAUUGUGCAUGUAUAUUGGAGGAGUAUGUGCUGGAUAUCUGGGGAAACUACAACAACAGUACUAAAAGAAAGGUAAAUGUUCAUUACUUGUUCGUAACAUCUUUGAUAAACUUCUCGUGUGUGAUAUGUGUAACCUGAAAGUUGCUAAAUACACCAAUUUGUGACUUCGUGAUAACACCGAGUUCUGGUUUCCGUUGGCUAGGUGAGGUAAAACUUGUUCUUUAAAUCCUCAAUGUAAGAAUAGUAUUUUUUUUAUUUCAGGCAUGUUGUUGUAUAGUAAGGUGGUAUCUUGAUUAGUUCAUGUUCUACUUGGCCAACACUUCCAGUUAUUGUAAAUUUCCUUAAUUUCUAGAGAGACAUACACAUUCUUUUUUCUUCUUUUUGUUGGUUCCCACGCAAUCUUUGGUACCUGCUCCCUGACUGAUUCGGAUUUGUGUCAUAUAAGGUCUGCUUCCACUCGAAUUUGUACCAGGUGCGGUUUAGGUAAGUGAUUCCUACCAAGAUUUUGUUUAUUCCUCUGCUACAUGGGUCGUGAUUUGUACUUUUGCUGGUUAUCUUUUGUAUCAAAAUUGUGUCUGGUUAUCUUUGAUAUCAAAAUUGUGUUCGAUAAUCAUUCUCUCGUUGAGGUUAUUGACUAGACAGUGUAUACGGCAACCCAUAUACAACAACUGUGCCUGCAACCAUAUGGAGUGGCUACUCAGCUACAAUUCUUUCUCGGCUCUAUCUGAUCAAAAUCUGAUUUACAAUUGUGACACAGCCUCUACCUGUAUAACUUGUACCGACUUUCUUUUUUCUUUUCUUUACUAUUGUGUACUCAAGAGAGUACAAAGUUUUAUGAAAAAUAAAAGCAAGACAUACUAGUUCGAGUGAAGUUGUGCAUCUUCCUCUGUUUGUCUUGCUGGCUUUUAUUGCCUCUUCGGUAGGUCUGAUUUAGCUCUAAAGGGAAAAUCCUAGGGUGUUUUAAUCAAUCAAGGAUUUGUAUUGAUUCCUUGAUUAAGUACAUACGUCUAUGCACAUCCAUAUCAGAUACGUUUGUGUGAGUGAUGUGAUUUCCUUACCUUAUUUGAUCUUUUGCUAGUUUUGUAAUUCUGUCUUGUACAAAAUUCUGAUUGAUUGAUUUACCUUUGUUUGUUGGAGAAUUGAUUUCAUGGUCCUUCCUUAUUUGUGUGCUGGUUCGGUUGGGGCUUCUUGAUCUUCGAUUGAUUAUUAGGAUAAGUCAAUUCAGUAAACCAUUCUCAUCAAUCACUCUGUAUUGACUGGUGCUCGUCCAAUGAACCUCCACUGUCAGGGGUGUGUUCACUAAACACCGGUGCAAUAGAAUAGCCUAAAGGGGAGAUUGGGUCAGUGUAAGUUCCCCCACUGAAUCUCUCGGAGGCCAAAACAGACCACUCUUUUGAGGAGACUACUUGGAAGAGACUGAAUGGAAGUAUGCUGCUUAGGCCAUUUUGGGUUCUAAAGAAGAAGAGUUGCCAUUAAAGGACCAUGACUGCCAUGAAUUUCACCCAAGAAUGAUGAAUGAUGAUCAUACGUCAAGUUAUAAGUGUACGAUAAAGAACACCCCAAAGAUUGAAUAAGCAAAGAACCAUUAUUUUGAUA